rnacentral:rRNA from 1 species
GUCUACGGCCUUACCACCUCAAAUGCAGCCAGUUUCAUCUGAUCUCAGAAGCUAAGCAGGGUCAAGCCUAGUUAACAUUUGGAUGGGAAAACCACAGGGAAACACAAAUGGCAGAGCCU